rnacentral:tRNA from 1 species
GGUCGAUUGGCUCAGCUGGUUAGAGCGCUCGGUUCACAUCCGGGAGGUCACUGGUUCGAAUCCAGUAUCGACCACCA